GCGGAUGUGGCGGAACUGGCAGACGCGCUAGAUUCAGGUUCUAGUUCCCUUAAAAGAGUGUGGGUUCAAAUCCCUUCAUCCGCACCA
rnacentral:tRNA from 18 species